AGUGAACGCUGGCGGUAGGCCUAACACAUGCAAGUCGAACGGCAGCACAGUAAGAGCUUGCUCUUACGGGUGGCGAGUGGCGGACGGGUGAGGAAUACAUCGGAAUCUACUUUUUCGUGGGGGAUAACGUAGGGAAACUUACGCUAAUACCGCAUACGACCUACGGGUGAAAGCAGGGGAUCUUCGGACCUUGCGCGAUUGAAUGAGCCGAUGUCGGAUUAGCUAGUUGGCGGGGUAAAGGCCCACCAAGGCGACGAUCCGUAGCUGGUCUGAGAGGAUGAGCGGAAACAGUGGAAGUGAGACACGGUACAGACGCCUACGGGAGGCAGCAGUAGGGAAUGGUCCACAAGGGGCGAGAGCCUGACGGAGCAAUGCCGAGUGAGGGAAGAAGGCCUUCGGAUUGUAAAGCUGUGUUAUUAGGGAAGAACAAAUGUGUAAGUACCCAUGCACGGCGUGACGGGACCUAAACAAAAAGCCACGGCUAACUACGUG
rnacentral:rRNA from 1 species